rnacentral:tRNA from 2 species
UCCGGGGUAGCUCAAUUGGCGGAGCAGGGCACUGUUAAUGCCAAGGCUGUGGGUUCGAGUCCCACCCCCGGAG